rnacentral:rRNA from 1 species
GACGAACGCUGGCGGCGUGCUUAACACAUGCAAGUCGAACGGAAAGACCCUGAUUUUGUGGGGUGCACGAGUGGCGAACGGGUGAGUAACACGUGAGUAUCAUGUCCUUGACUUUCGGGUAACUCCAGGAAACUGGGGAUAAUACAGGAUAGGAGCUACUGCUGCAUGGUGGGCGUUGGAGAGAUUCGGCGGUGCGGGAUGGACUCGCGGCUUAUGAGCUUGUUGGUCGGGUAGUGGCUGACAAAGGGUUGGAGGGAUAGCCGGCCUGAGAGGGUGGCCGGGGACCUUGGGACUGCGAGAGGGCGCAGACGGCAACGGGAGGCAGCGGUGGGGAGUAUUGCACAAUGGGCGGAAGUCUGAUGCAGCAACGCCGCGUGCGGGAUGACGGCCUUCGGGUGGUAAACCGCUUUGGCCGGUGACGAAGCGUGAGUGACGGUAAUGGGUAAAGAAGCACCGGCUAACUACGUG